GAAAAAGAACCUGAAACCGUGUACGUACAAGCAGUGGGAGCCUCUUUAUGGGGUGACUGCGUACCUUUUGUAUAAUGGGUCAGCGACUUAUAUUCUGUAGCAAGGUUAACCGAAUAGGGGAGCCGAAGGGAAACCGAGUCUUAACUGGGCGUUAAGUUGCAGGGUAUAGACCCGAAACCCGGUGAUCUAGCCAUGGGCAGGUUGAAGGUUGGGUAACACUAACUGGAGGACCGAACCGACUAAUGUUGAAAAAUUAGCGGAUGACUUGUGGCUGGGGGUGAAAGGCCAAUCAAACCGGGAGAUAGCUGGUUCUCCCCGAAAGCUAUUUAGGUAGCGCCUCGUGAAUUCAUCUCCGGGGGUAGAGCACUGUUUCGGCAAGGGGGUCAUCCCGACUUACCAACCCGAUGCAAACUGCGAAUACCGGAGAAUGUUAUCACGGGAGACACACGGCGGGUGCUAACGUCCGUCGUGAAGAGGGAAACAACCCAGACCGCCAGCUAAGGUCCCAAAGUCAUGGUUAAGUGGGAAACGAUGUGGGAAGGCCCAGACAGCCAGGAUGUUGGCUUAGAAGCAGCCAUCAUUUAAAGAAAGCGUAAUAGCUCACUGGUCGAGUCGGCCUGCGCGGAAGAUGUAACGGGGCUAAACCAUGCACCGAAGCUGCGGCAGCGACACUAUGUGUUGUUGGGUAGGGGAGCG
rnacentral:rRNA from 1 species